rnacentral:SRP_RNA from 1 species
GCCGGGCGUGGUGGCGCGUGCCUGUAGUCCCAGCUACUCGGAAGGCUGAGGUGGGAGGAUCGCUUGAGUCCAGGAGUUCUGGGCUGCAGUGCGCUAUGCUGAUCGGGUGUCCGCACUAAGUUCGGCAUCAAUAUGGUGACCUCCCGGGAGCGGGGGACCACCAGGUUGCCUAAGGAGGGGUGAACUGGCCCAGGUCGGAAACGGAGCAGGUCAAAACUCCCGUGCUGAUCAGUAGUGGGAUCGCGCCUGUGAAUAGCCACUGCACUCCAGCCUGGGCAAUAUAGUGAGACCCUGUCUCU